UUGCCAGACUCCUACGGGAGGCAGCAGUGGGGAAUAUUGCACAAUGGGGGAAACCCUGAUGCAGCGACGCCGCGUGAGUGAAGAAGUAUUUCGGUAUGUAAAGCUCUAUCAGCAGGGAAGAAAAUGACGGUACCUGACUAAGAAGCCCCGGCUAACUACGUGCCAGCAGCCGCGGUAAUACGUAGGGGGCAAGCGUUAUCCGGAUUUACUGGGUGUAAAGGGAGCGUAGACGGCACUGCAAGUCCGGAGUGAAAGCCCAAGGCUUAACCAUGGGACUGCUCUGGAAACUGUGGAGCUUGAGUGCGGGAGGGGCAGGCGGAAUUCCUAGUGUAGCGGUGAAAUGCGUAGAUAUUAGGAGGAACACCGGCGGCGAAGGCGGCCCGCUGGACCGUAACUGACGUUGAGGCUCGAAAGCGUGGGGAGCAAACAGGAUUAGAUACCCUUGUA
rnacentral:rRNA from 1 species